rnacentral:rRNA from 1 species
AACGAACGCUGGCGGCAUGCCUAACACAUGCAAGUCGAACGAGACCUUCGGGUCUAGUGGCGCACGGGUGCGUAACGCGUGGGAACCUGCCCUUAGGUUCGGAAUAACUCCCCGAAAGGGGUGCUAAUACCGGAUAAUGUCUUCGGCCCAAAGAUUUAUCGCCGUUGGAUGGGCGCGCGUUGGAUUAGCUAGUUGGUAGUGUAAAAGCCUACCAAGGCGACGAUCCAUAGCUGGUCUGAGAGGAUGAUCAGCCACACUGGGACUGAGACACGGCCCAGACUCCUACGGGAGGGAGCAGUGGGGAAUAUUGGACAAUGGGCGAAAGCCUGAUCCAGCAAUGCCGCGUGAGUGAUGAAGGCCUUAGGGUUGUAAAGCUCUUUUACCCGGGAUGAUAAUGACAGUACCGGGAGAAUAAGCUCCGGCUAACUCCGUG